CUAGAGUAUGUAGUGAUGGAGGGACG
rnacentral:sRNA from 1 species